rnacentral:misc_RNA from 1 species
GCGGAGGGAUCAUUACACAAUAUGAAAGCGGGCUGGACUCCCCCCAGCAGUGCGUUGCUUUGCGGCGUGCGCUGUUGGGGCCAGCCUUGCUGAAUUAUUCACCCGUGUCUUUUGCGUACUUCUUGUUUUCUUGGUGGGUUCGCCCACCACAAGGACAAACCAUAAACCUUUUGUAAUUGCAAUCAGCGUCAGUAACAAUAAUAAUAAUUACAACUUUCAACAACGGAUCUCUUGGUUCUGGCA